ensembl:lncRNA
CAGAGGAAGACUCAGAUUUUAGGUGUUUGGGAUUGGAACUCUUAACAUCCAAGCAGCUACUUGCUGUUUGAAAUUCAGACCUCUGCAAGAAAUUUCAAAAGCUGAACUUCUGAAAAUGAAUGCCCAGACAGCAGCUAGCUGGGCAAAGCUUAAACUACAGAGGUGAAGAACCGCAAAUUUUGAAACCCUUCAGUCCUGCAUGCUUAAGGAAUAGUCUUACCCAGGAUACAUAGUUUGGACUUAUUUCCUAUUCAUUGGCCAGGCACAUCCAUGGGAGAUGAGCCUCUCAGUGGACAGGUCUGAAUUGUGCUCUCCUGCCUUUUGUGUGAGUGCUCAAUCUGUUCUUGAACGACUGUGUUAAAGGGGACAAUAGCUGUUGCCAAGAUCAACAUAAUUUCAAAUAAAGCGUUGCCUUGUGUUUUGUAUGCAGCUUGAAUCAGCUACAUCAAAGUGAGACAUCUCAGUUACUUCAGUGCUCAGAGGCUCAAGUGUAGAAAAAUAAAAUUUUACCUUCCUUAGAUUUUUUCACAGGUUAGGAAAAUAUGAAUAUAAACCUUCCUGAUGGUGAAAGAGGAGAAAGAUGUGUGCAGAACCUCCCCGUUCUAAGCUGAAGACUAGAUGGGUGCUUAAGGAGUAUUUGAAGACCCUCAGUAGGGAUUAGAGCUCCACCGUACAACAGAACAUCAACAUCUGGAAAAUCACAGUAAAGCAGUUAAGUAGAAAGUAAUAGAUCCAGAGUACUGAAUAUCAACUUUUCACCCAGUGGUGAGCUGAUGCUAGGGGAAGAAGGAAUACUAGACUCUGAUCUUAGCUCUUGUUUGGCUAUACUUCCUCUGUCCUGUCUUCCUUCUCUCUACACUCUCAAGUGCAUAUGUCAGCACUUUUCAACCAGGAAAAACAAAACAAAACAGCAACAAAAGGAGGAGAGAAAUAAAAGGAAAUGAUACAGGAAUUUCUCCAAAGUCUACAUGAUGCAGACACUGAGAACAAAAAUCUUUUUAUAUGUCUUCUCAGAGGCCAAGAAGUGUGAACAAUUGGUUCAUGGACAAUUAAUUUGUUGUAGCCUUCAACAUUUAGAUAUGUCUGGCUGAGGAAUGUAUCCUUUACUUCAGGAACAAAAUGAUUAUUUAGCUAACCCAGUCUAUCGUAGCACUGUGAACAAAUGCUUCUGCAAUCUGGUAUUUGAAAAAUCCAUAAGGAUAAAUUAAAUUAACAUGACUUUCUCCUGGAAGAAAAUAGGCUGAAGAAAAGACUAAUUUCUAAUUUUCAUGCAGUUGAUGUUACAAAAAACCAUCAAAUAUUAUCUUACUUCUUAUAUUUAUCUUGCCUAUUUUAUUUUAUUCUAUUUUAUUUCUUGUCCUUUGGAAAAGCAUGUUCUUCACCAUGAAUUAUUAAUGUAAUUAUAAUUUUUAGUUAUAUAUAAAAACAUUCUUAAAAACCAUAAAAAAAAAAAAGCCUGCACCCUCUCUAGUUCUUUCCAUUUCUCCCAUUGCUACUUCUACCACAAAUCUGACAAGUUCCUGAAUGUGCAACUGAGUCGUGAAUCAAGUGCUUGAAGCUGUACACAGACAACAGAAAUAGGUCACUGCUUCUUCAAGAAUCUGUGCUUCAGUCAUAUUCACUUCUAUUUUUAUUCAAGAUUCAAGAAUUAAAAAAAAAAUAAAAAGUAGCAACA